rnacentral:tRNA from 1 species
ACUAUUUUGGCAGAGAAGUGCAAUGAAUUUAGAAUUCAUGAAUGUAAGAUUGAUUUACAAUUAGUA